UCAUCCAGACUUCUGUGAUCCAUAAAUCUUAUCUUGGAGAGAUGAUUUCCUUGGGAGUGGGACAGUUCUGAUGCCAUCCAGAAUUACCAAGACUGUGGAUCUCCAGGAGCCUGACCUGGUGAGCACUGGGAAUUCAAGAGAAUGCCGACCAGCAUUCAGGUUGGAAGUUGAUUUCCCUGUUAGCUGAGUCUCUGCAUCUGCUCCUAAUGGAGAGUCUCAGAGUUUAGAAG